rnacentral:rRNA from 1 species
UACGUAGGGGGCUAGCGUUGUCCGGAAUCAUUGGGCGUAAAGAGCGUGUAGGCGGCCCGGUAAGUCCGCUGUGAAAGUCGGGGCUCAACCCUCGAAUGCCGGUGGAUACUGUCGGGCUAGAGUGCGGAAGAGGCGAGUGGAAUUCCUGGUGUAGCGGUGAAAUGCGCAGAGUAUCAGGAGGAACACCGAUUGCGAAGGCAGCUCGCUGGGACGUAACUGACG